AAAAGUUUCCAUGUAAAAGAUCCUGCAAUAAGGUUACAUUAACCUAUUAUACCGGCCAAAUCAAUUAUACCCGCAGGUUAAUCAUUGUUUCACACUUAAAGCAAAUCAAAGUUUUCCAUAAAAAAGGUCAAAAAAAAUGCAUCCGUUGGAGGACAACUAGCAUGGUGUUAUCUGAAGUAUCUUAUAAGAAAUACACCCAAAAAGGGAAAGAAAAGAAGGCGGAUCGUGCACAUUAUAAUCCACGAAAUGCUCUGCGUUAGAAGACAUGGAAUUAAGAUACCCACAACCAAACAAUAAUUUAAAAUUCCAAAGACUUGCCUCCAAUACGACCUUAGAAUGAGCAUAACCCUGGCUGCCUAAAAUUUUAAAAAGAAAAAGAAA
rnacentral:lncRNA from 1 species